UACGUAGGGACCGAGCGUUGUCCGGAAUCAUUGGGCGUAAAGCGUGUUCAGGCGGCCUGGCAAGUCGGGCAUGAAAUCUCUCGGCUCAACCGGGAGAGGCUGUCCGAUACUGCUGGGCUUGAGGACGGUAGAGGGUGGUGGAAUUCCGCGUGUAGUGGUGAAAUGCGUAGAUAUGCGGAGGAACACCAGUGGCGAAGGCGGCCACCUGGACCGUCCCUGACGCUCAAACACGAAAGCUAGGGUAGCGAACGGG
rnacentral:rRNA from 1 species